AUACAGCAAUAGACAGAAUUAAAAAAAAAACAUAUUACAAAACAGUAUCAGAUGUUGUGAUGAAUCUUCAAUCUGCACUCUUAUCUCUCUCUCUCUCUUUCUCUCUCUCC
rnacentral:ribozyme from 14 species